AACGAACGCUGGCGGCAGGCUUAACACAUGCAAGUCGAACGAAGGCUUCGGCCUUAGUGGCGCACGGGUGAGUAACACGUGGGAACAUACCUUUCGGUGGGGAAUAACAUCGGGAAACUGAUGCUAAUACCGCAUACGCCCUUCGGGGGAAAGAUUUAUCGCCGAAAGAUUGGCCCGCGUCCGAUUAGCUAGUUGGUGAGGUAACGGCUCACCAAGGCGACGAUCGGUAGCUGGUCUGAGAGGAUGAUCAGCCACACUGGGACUGAGACACGGCCCAGACUCCUACGGGAGGCAGCAGUGGGGAAUAUUGGACAAUGGGGGCAACCCUGAUCCAGCCAUGCCGCGUGAGUGAUGAAGGCCUUAGGGUUGUAAGGCUCUUUCACCCACGACGAUGAUGACGGUAGUGGGAGAAGAAGCCCCGGCUAACUUCGUGCCAGCCGCCGCCGUAAUAC
rnacentral:rRNA from 1 species